rnacentral:rRNA from 1 species
UUGAACGCUGGCGGCAGGCCUAACACAUGCAAGUCGAGCGGAUGAAGGGAGCUUGCUCCUGGAUUCAGCGGCGGACGGGUGAGUAAUGCCUAGGAAUCUGCCUGGUAGUGGGGGAUAACGUCCGGAAACGGGCGCUAAUACCGCAUACGUCCUGAGGGAGAAAGUGGGGGAUCUUCGGACCUCACGCUAUCAGAUGAGCCUAGGUCGGAUUAGCUAGUUGGUGGGGUAAAGGCCUACCAAGGCGACGAUCCGUAACUGGUCUGAGAGGAUGAUCAGUCACACUGGAACUGAGACACGGUCCAGACUCCUACGGGAGGCAGCAGUGGGGAAUAUUGGACAAUGGGCGAAAGCCUGAUCCAGCCAUGCCGCGUGUGUGAAGAAGGUCUUCGGAUUGUAAAGCACUUUAAGUUGGGAGGAAGGGCAGUAAGUUAAUACCCUGCUGUUUUGACGUUACCAACAGAAUAAGCACCGGCUAACUUCGUG